AACGAACGCUGGUGGCAUGCCUAACACAUGCAAGUCGAACGCCCCGCAAGGGGAGUGGCGAACGGGUGAGUAACGCGUGGGAACCUACCCAGCAGUUGGGGAUAACCGCGGGAAACUGCGGCUAAUACCGAAUACGUCCUUCGGGAGAAAGAUUUAUCGCUGUUGGAGGGGCCCGCGUCGGAUUAGCUAGUUGGCGGGGUAACGGCCCACCAAGGCGACGAUCCGUAGCUGGUCUGAGAGGAUGAUCAGCCACACUGGGACUUAGACACGGCCCAGACUCCUACGGGAGGCAGCAGUGGGGAAUAUUGGACAAUGGGGGCAACCCUGAUCCAGCAAUGCCGCGUGAGUGAUGAAGGCCUUAGGGUUGUAAAGCUCUUUUGCCGGGGAUGAUGAUGACGGUACCCGGAGAAUAAGCCCCGGCUAACUUCGUGCCAGCAGCCGCGGUAACAC
rnacentral:rRNA from 1 species